GAUGAACGCUGGCGGCGUGCCUAAUACAUGCAAGUCGAGCGAACAGACGAGGAGCUUGCUCCUCUGACGUUAGCGGCGGACGGGUGAGUAACACGUGGAUAACCUACCUAUAAGACUGGGAUAACUUCGGGAAACCGGAGCUAAUACCGGAUAAUAUAUUGAACCGCAUGGUUCAAUAGUGAAAGACGGUUUUGCUGUCACUUAUAGAUGGAUCCGCGCCGCAUUAGCUAGUUGGUAAGGUAACGGCUUACCAAGGCGACGAUGCGUAGCCGACCUGAGAGGGGGAUCGCCCACACUGGAACUGAGACACGGUCCAGACUCCUACGGGAGGCAGCAGUAGGGAAUCUUCCGCAAUGGGCGAAAGCCUGACGGAGCAACGCCGCGUGAGUGAUGAAGGUCUUCGGAUCGUAAAACUCUGUUAUUAGGGAAGAACAAAUGUGUAAGUAACUAUGCACGUCUUGACGGUACCUAAUCAGAAAGCCACGGCUAACUACGUG
rnacentral:rRNA from 1 species